AGUCAUAAUAGUUCUUGCAGCUUGGAGUGUGCCGCCAUCCUCCCCAAACACAUCUCGACUCUGAAAGUGACCCUAUGAAGGCUAUGACUGCUAAGCAGCAGGCAGAACAGGAAGCUAAAUUGAUGUCUGCUUAGAGAAUGCAAGGCUCCAAAUAGCAGCCUCAUACGCAAAGAAAGUGAUGAAUGAACGUACUCUGAUAUGUUAGAAGUUAAAAGGAAUAUUUAAGGUAAAUAUCA
rnacentral:lncRNA from 1 species